AUGGCAGGACGAGCAUUUAGAAAGUUUCUUCCACUUUUUGAUGGCGUAUAAGUUGAAAGGAGUGCAGCUGAAACCGUAACCAAAAGAGGCAUUAUGCUUCCAGAAAAAUCUCAAGGAAAAGUAUGCCAAGCAACAGUAGUGGCUAUUGGAUUGGGCUGUAAAGGAAAGCGUGGAGAAAUUCAACCAGUUAGUGUGAAAGUUGUAGAUAAAGUUCUUCUCCCAGAAUAUGGAGGCGCCAAAGUCGUUCUAGAUGACAAAGAUUAUUUCUUAUUUGGAGAUGGGAACAUUCUUGGAAAGUACGUAGACUGAAAUAAAUCCCUAUUGAAAUGGAAUCAGCAUGAAGCUUCCCAUACAACUGAAGUUCUGAAAUCUUCCAUCAUGUAAAUAAUUUCCAUGUGUCUCUUUUAUAAUAAACUAAUGAUAUCUAAACUG